AACGCACAUUGCGCCCAUUAGUAUUCUAGUGGGCAUGCCUGUUCGAGCGUCAUUUCAACCCUUAAGCUUAGCUUAGUGUUGGGAAUCUGCUGUAUUGCAGUUCCUCAAAUACAACGGCGGAUCUGUAACAUCCUCUGAGCGUAGUAAAUUCUUAUCUCGCUUUUGUCAGGUGUUGCAGCUCUCAGCCGCUAAACCCCCAAUUUUUGUGGUUGACCUCGGAUCAGGUAGGAAUACCCGCUGAACUUAA
rnacentral:misc_RNA from 1 species